UGAGAUGCUGCUUGGCCUGCUGUGUUCAUCCAGCCUCACAUUUUAUUAUCUUGGAAUCUCCAGCAUCUGCAGUUCCCAUUAUCUCUGGGACUAGUUUAGUUUGGGAUUAUCGUCGGCAUGGACCGGUUGAACGGAAGGGUCUGUUUCUGUGCUGUGGAUGUAAUCUAAACACUCAUUUGUUCGGGUACACUCACUGUAACUGUGUUCCGGUGAGGAAGUGCGAGUUGAGUUGGAGCUGCUGUGAGCUGGCGCUCCGCGGGAAUCCGGGUCCCCAGUUUGUUUACAGUUGCUAUGGCGAACACCGGUUUCCAGGCAACGGGCUGAGUUGUUACAUUUUGGAGAAGGGCUCGCGGCGGUGGGAUGAGACUCUUUCUGCCCAUGGAGCAGGUGGUGUGCAACGAGUCUGCAGCGGCCAGUUUAGCGCCUGUACACGGUGGAGGAGAGGCACGGAGAGGGCCCGGAUCCCCAGCCAGGCCACCGGAGAGGGACGGAGAUGGAUGCCCGGGGAUCAGUGCAGCGCCGGUCUCAGCACAGAGCCCCCGCCCCGAAUGUCAGCCGGAAGGCGAGGCGCAGCCUGCAGCGGAGGUACAGGACCAUCAUGCGGUGGAACUCGACCUCAGUGAGGACCGCACGAAAAACAAGUGUCUGAUCGGGAACUGGCUGGAACAGAGAACGGCAGCUCCCUUUGACCAUAAUGAAGUGAAAGCCAUGUCAAAUGCUUUAGCGUUCAAGGAUGGACAUAAAGGCCUACUCACCGUGGAUUACUCAUCAAAACUAUCUAACGUAACCACUUAUAAAGAGUCAUACCCUCCUCCCAAGGAACCCCCACGAGAAAUAGGAAUAAGAAAGCAACUGAUUGAAAAGUAUAUGUAUCACAAAAUAAGCAAAGAUGUAUUUGAUGCACAGGAAGCUGCCUCAACUUUACAACCAAUGGAAUCGCUGACCGUAACAGGACAUGACUUCAAGGUGGAAGGUUUUAAAUCUGUUCCACGUCCUCCUACUAUGAUGCAUGAUUACAAAACAGAACAGCCUAUUACGAUCUGGACUGACCAUGCCACGCAAAUACAUUUCAUGGUAACCAUGAAUGAUAGGUCCAACCACAGCAGGGGCUGUUAUCACUGUGGCUAUGGUACUGUGACAGCACAGAGAGAUCGAGUAGAAAUGGAAGCGUGAACAAGACCAGGACCAGCAACAUUCAGUGCCUGCUGAGCAGUCUCCGCAUGAAGAAGUCACAGCUGAGGAGAAAUCUGUCAGCUAAGAUGUCAUUUCCUGCAGAUCAGCGAGGCACAGUGUCAUCACAGACUGGGGAUGGCCCAGAACAUCAUCAGAAAACUAUGCCACCUACUAGAGCGGGAUGUGAAGAAGUGGUAGUGAUCUUAUUCUGGUGGGCAUCUCCAAAUCAGCAACCAGCUGAUUCUGAGGAUCCACUGGGACCUACGUGGGACCUCUUAAUUCUCAAUCUACAAAUGCGUCAAGGCCAUUACCAUGGUGUCACUCCAAUAAAGAACGCUCAUGCUCCAUUUCGGAAAAACACAUCAUUUACCAAACCAAUAGUGGAAACAUUGGAUAGCUGACAACUUCUAGUUUGAAAUUGCAUUGUUCCCAUUCACAGAAAUUAAUGUUCAUGGAAAUUAGACAAUAUGUAUUAUACCUGUUAUUCCUUAUUCUCGUUUUACUGCUUCUAUUCCGGAUCUGGAUCAUUAAUUUAACAUCGAUUGUGAAAUAAAUAAAAAGGUGCAGAAAGAUUAGAAACUUUAUUUUUCAAGGUGUCUCGUGGUAAUGCCAGUGAAAGUAACAGCAUGCACCAGAACAGAAUCUCACCUGGUUAGAAAGAAGGCAUUACAGAUUGAGGUUCUACCACCUCUGCUGAACUUCAGUGGUUUGAGUUUCAAAAUUGUCUACUGCUAGUUUGUAAUUCUGUGUCAAAGCUAAUGACCAUUAUAUCAUAAUCCUGCACAACUAGUCAUUGAUUUUAAAUAAUAUACACUGCUGUAUGAUUCUAUGACUCUGUAAUAUGCUCUCACACAUACAUUCCUCCUCUUUUGAGUAAUGGUGGUGAAAUGCUGCAAGGUUAUAGCAGGCUGAUUUACCUGUUGUGUGUAUCUGUUUGAUCUCUGUAAACGCUUGUUCCAUGGCCAACUAGGUCUGAAGUAUGACUUGGAUCUGGAACAUUGGCUCAGAGGCAGUAUGUAAUCUAUAGAGUCACAAGAGUUCCUUAACAGCCGCAACAUUUCAGGCUUCUUGCGGAAUGCUUCCUACCUGCCAUUGAGAGUACGAUCAUCAGAGCUCAGCUUCACAACGUUUGUCAUGCAGUUUGCAUGUAGGAUUUAUAGGUAAAAAUGGCAGUAUUCUACAGUCAGUUAUGCAUGAAAACCAUGCAAGACAUUCCAAACUUCAAUAUAUAGACAAUUUGAAAGUCAACUUCGGAGUAUGCAAGCUGGGUCUCAAUAUAUAGGGUGAAAAGAUUUUGGAUAGACCCAAACGGGAAAGUUCCUGUCAUCAAAUGACUUCAACAUUUGAGGAGACUGAAAUAGAGUGACUUCAGCACCAACAAUCAUGGUGCAAACGGCAAUGCCUCCAUCCAACCUUCUAAUAUUUGUCUCCAAGAUGGUGGCGGAGUAGGAUUCCUGAGCAGGAGCUUAUCUGCUCCACGUGUUUCUUUUCCUUUUAUUUCUCUUUGUAUUUUUAGUUUCUUUUUACCUCCCAUCCUCAAGUAGCAUUGGCAAUGUCCAGAAUGAAAGCAGGUGUGGACUCCUGGCCUCAGCAUGGACUUAAACUCCUGAAGCCCCGGCUCAGUAUGAACCUUAACUCUCAGCCUCAGCGUGAACUCAACUCCUGGCACUCCCAGCCUUGAGGUGCAGGCUAACUCCCUCUGGGUUGUAAGGAUUGUUGUUCUGAACUCUUAUUUCUCUAUUUUUCUACUUUAUUGCUGGAUUUUUUAAUUCUUUACCUUUCUAAUAUUUUUCCCUAAGAAUUUGCACUUAAGAUUCUGUAUUAAGUAUCUUUUCACUGUAUUCAUGUGAGUACGUGUGACCCUAAAGCUAAUUCCAAUUCUAAUACUGACUUCAAAUGCAGCCCUUUACAGUUGAUUAUGCUUGAUCUAAUAUCUCGAGAUGAUAUCAAACUGGAUCAUAAACCAAUCUUUCUGUUUUCUUUUCUUGAGUUGUCAUCCAUUGAAGUGAUAGAAGAAUCCAUUUUUUUCCAUUUUAAUGAUAUUACAAAUUUACACAGUAGGACUGUUUCUUGCUACAUAUAUAGUGAGAGACAGUGAGUUUUCACUCUUCAGACUUUCUUCGAGGUGAGACGGGAAAAAUGACAUUUUGUUGUCCAUCCUUUGUUUACCUGAAUGCAUCAAAACGGGACUGAAGUUAUAUGUAGUUCUGACCUUGCAAAUGUGCCAGGUUAACUUUCCUGGCUAACAUUGCACAGAAAUAGGCAAUUUUCUUCAACUGGCUCGUGCUGCACUUAAACUUACUGCCACCUCUAUUCCUUUCUUCCAUAAGAUUUUCCAGCUUCCUAUCAAAUACAUCUUAUUUUAGAUGCCUUGGAUACUCAUGGCAUUGAGUUGUACAUCGUCACCACUCUGAUUAAUUAAACUCCUAUUUAAUACCAUGUUUAAUUUAUUAAUAGCUAACUUAUAUUUGUGGCUUCUGUCUAUGGCCUCCUCCACAAGUGGAACCAUUUUCAGUACAACUACUCUAUUAAGCACUUUCAGAUAUGUAAAAACAUUCAGUUAGUUGGUUUUCUUCCCACAAUCAAGUAGCAUUCAUAGUCACUGACUCCCUGGUGUCACUUGACAAUUUAAGGGACUUAACAAAUUCAGUUGCUCAGCCUGCAAUCAUUUGAACUCCUGGCAUCUAGGAUAUUAGUCACUGCCAUUACCAUAAUGUUACUGUGCCUUUUACUCUUCAGGGCUUUAAAUGUUGUUGAUCUAUAUUGUUCCAAUUUGAUACUGUUUUUGGUUAAUGUCUAAAUUACUUCCAAUAAAAGUUUCACCAGAGCUAAUGCAGCUAAUGUUUUAAUGAAGAUCUAUAUUUCGGGUUGCGUUUGGAGUUAUUAGUUAUUAGCCGAGCUGACUGGUUUACACGCAAAUACUGCUAGCUGAUAUCGUCUGUGCUGUGUAGCUUCCACUGCAGCGCUGUUGUUCUGUUCCGUUCUGAAUGUAUAUGGUCCGGUCUGUCAUGGUGGGCAGUCUUGUUUCCGGUUUUGCACCAUAGUGGUAUGUAGAUGGGAAUGUAUUUCAUAAGGCCAUAAGACAGGGGAGCAGAAAUUAGGCCAUUUGGCCCAUCAAGCCUGCUCCGUCAUUCAGUCAUGGAUGAUAAGUUCCUCAACUCCAUUUUCCCACUUUCUCCCCAUAACCCUUGAUUAUCCCCUUGAUAAUCAAGAACCUAUCUAUCUCAGUCUUGAAAGCACUCAGUGACCUGGCCUCCACAGCCUUCGGUGGCAGUGAAUUACAUAGAUUCACCACUCUCUGGCUCAAGUAGUUUCUCCUUAUCUCCAUUCAAAAAAGGUCUUCCCUUUACUCUAAGGCUGAGCCCUUGGGUCCUCAUCUCUCCAACCUAAGGAAACAUCUUCCCAACAUCCACUCUGUCCAGGCCAUUAUUCUCUAAGUUUCAAUUAGAUCCCCCCUCAUGCUUCUAAGCUCCAAUGAGAAUAGCCCCAGAGUCAUAUUUCAAUAUGCUUGUAAAUUGCAAUGGUGUUUGAAAGCCAAGCCUCCAGGAAACCUGCAACCGCAGGAAAUGCUACACUUGCCCCCACACCUCCACCCUCACCCCUAUCCCAGGCCCCAAGAUGACUUUCCAUAUU